rnacentral:tRNA from 1 species
GCCUGGGUGGCUCAGUCGGUUAAGUGUCCGACUUCGGCUCAGGUCAUGAUCUCACGGUUCGUGGGUUCGAGCCCCACGUCGGGCU